UACGAAGGGGGCUAGCGUUGUUCGGAAUCACUGGGCGUAAAGCGCACGUAGGCGGAUGUUUAAGUCAGGGGUGAAAUGCCGAGGCUCAACCUUGGAACUGCCUUUGAUACUGGGCAUCUGGAGUCCGGGAGAGGUGAGUGGAACUGCGAGUGUAGAGGUGAAAUUCGUAGAUAUUCGCAAGAACACCAGUGGCGAAGGCGGCUCACUGGCCCGGUACUGACGCUGAGGUGCGAAAGCGUGGGGAGCAAACAGG
rnacentral:rRNA from 1 species